rnacentral:rRNA from 1 species
UGAGGAACAUGACCUUCGGCGGGGGAGUAGCCGGCCCAACGGCCGGGUAAUACCGCGUACGACCACUUUGGGACAUCCCUAGGUGGUGAAAGCAGCAAUGCGCCGAUGGAGUGCCUCGCGGCCUAUCAGCUAGUUGGUGAGGUAACGGCUCACCAAGGCGACGACGGGUAGCUGGUCUGAGAGGAAGGCCAGCCACAUUGGGACUGAGACACGGCCCAGACUCCUACGGGAGGNAG